AUUGAACGCUGGCGGCAUGCCUUACACAUGCAAGUCGAACGGCAGCACGGACUUCGGUCUGGUGGCGAGUGGCGAACGGGUGAGUAAUGUAUCGGAACGUACCUUUCAGUGGGGGAUAACGUAGCGAAAGUUACGCUAAUACCGCAUAUUCUGUGAGCAGGAGAGCAGGGGAUCGAAAGACCUUGCGCUGAUUGAGCGGCCGAUAUCAGAUUAGCUAGUUGGUGGGGUAAAGGCCUACCAAGGCGACGAUCUGUAGCGGGUCUGAGAGGAUGAUCCGCCACACUGGAACUGAGACACGGUCCAGACUCCUACGGGAGGCAGCAGUGGGGAAUUUUGGACAAUGGGGGCAACCCUGAUCCAGCCAUGCCGCGUGAGUGAAGAAGGCCUUCGGGUUGUAAAGCUCUUUCGGCCGGGAAGAAAUCGCAUAGGCUAAUACCCUGUGUGGAUGACGGUACCGGAAUAAGAAGCACCGGCUAACUACGUG
rnacentral:rRNA from 1 species